GCGGGGAUAGCUCAGUUGGGAGAGCGUCAGACUGAAGUUCAACUUCAUUCCUGAAAAUCUGAAGGUCGUGCGUUCGAUCCGCACUCACCGCA